UUCGGAAAUAAAUUGUUCUUGUUUAUUUCUGGUGUAGAUACAAUUGUUGAAAUAAAUAGAAACUUGACCAAUUUUAUAUUUAGAUGCAAAUUAGGUUAUUUUCAAAAUAAGAAAAAUAGUAUUUGAAUAGUUAAAUUGAAUUAGUGGGAAUAAGAAUAUUUAUAAUCUUUAAAUAAUAACCGUUAGCUAAUUAAUUAAUGUAAAAAUAUUGGCAUGGUCCUCUCUCAAAAUAAUAUUUCAUUUUCUGUUAUAAACAAAGAUCGGCAUGAUUCUCACCCAGAAACAUUUAUAAUCUUAAAUAUUAGGUCAAAAAUCGAUCACAAAUAUAUACUACAAGAAUAUUCGAGUUCUUGUCAUUUUUCGGAUUUAGCCUAAGGGCACGUUUAGUUCACCUAUUUUAGACUAUGGAAUCGAAAUGAAAUUCAUGGAUUCCGAUAGUCACCGUUUGUUUUAUAGGAAUCGAAUUCCGAUUUUCAUUCCACUCUGGAAUGGGAAUGGCCAAAUUCAUUUAUUAUCCAAUCCAGCUUUGAAUUCCGGAUUGGCUCAUUUCAAAGUAAACUAUUCAAAAUCAUCUUUUAUCAACAUCUAUCUCCUCUCCCUUCAUCAUUUUUCUUUCUCUUAAUCAAAAUCCUUUCUCAAAAAUUUUAAAUUUUCAUUCCGAUUUCCAUUCCAAUAAUGAACCAAACAUUUUUAGAUAAUCCGUCAUUCCAUUUCUUAUUCCAAAGCAACCCAAUUCCGUUUCCCAUUCCUAUUCUAAUCAUGAACCAAACAUGUCCUAAUGGUCUAGCCUAGCCCAUUUGGAUUCUUUGCAAUAUAAGUUGAGGUUAGGUGACCGCAAAUAUAUAUAUAUAUAUAUAUAGAACUAUGCUCCUAUAUCGAUAGUACCAAAUUCUUAGUGUUAUCAAGUUUUCAGCUAUUGGAUAACAUGAAGGGUGCGUUUGGUUCGCACUAUAAAAGAUUACUAGGAAUAAAAAGAUGUCCGAGAAUCUUAUUCCUAUUAAUCCUAUUAUACUAAGAAUGUGUCAUUCCUGUGUUUGGUUCGCUCAGGCAUACUAUUUAGUUAUGUUAUUUAAGAUUACAAAAAAUAUACAAUUAUUUAUUUAUUUUUUAAUUAAUUUUAGAUAAUGAUACCAAAAAUUUCAACAUCCUUUUUGAAAAAAAGGGAGAGAGAAUAUAUGAUAGAGAGAGCAUAAUUAAAGAAAUAGAAAGAGAAAUAGAGUCGAGGUUAGAGGGAGUGAGAGAGUUGAGAUUUUAGAAAAAGAAAAGAAAAGAGAGAGCUUAGUUUAGAGAGAGAAAAAGAUUUGAAGUUUAGAGAGAAAAAUAUAAGUUUAGAGAGAGAUAUGAGGUUAGAGUGUAAAGAAAAAUAAAACGAACUAGCCGACAGGUAGGGAGAAAGAAAGAGAUUAGACAUAUUACGAUUACCCGAAUCCAUUAAUAUGAGGAUACCCACCCUCCCUCAAAGGAAUGAGAUUAGUAUUUUGGGAUGAAUCUCAUUCCCAAAUAAAUCCAAUAUUACCAACUAGAUUACUUAGUGCGUUUAGCCAAACACCGUUAUAUUUUUUUAUUCUUAUUGGAUUAUUAGAAAUCUUAAAAAGAUAGCGUGAACCAAACGGACCCGAAAGGAUGUGCGGUUAGGAUGAUAGUGAUCUCCUAGGGUUGAGUGGGUGGUUUGGUUAAAUAGUAUAAUCUAACGAGUAGAGAUCAUUAAAUGGUAGAUUUAACGGUAAAAGACUCGAUAGCAUCAAGAGAUUUAUACUAUCGAUAGUAUAGUAGCCGGACUCUCUCUCUAUAUAUAUAUAUUUGUUUAAGAUGUCAGUUGAUCACACAAACACUCGUUACCAAAUUU
rnacentral:lncRNA from 1 species